AAAACAAGCUUUUAAGAGCAGAUGGCGGAUGCCUUGCCAAAGAGAGGCGAUGAAGGACGUACUAGACUGCGAUAAGCUAUGCGGAGCUGUCAAGGAGCUUUGAUGCGUAGAUGUCCGAAUGGGGCAACCCAACUAAUAGAGAUAUUAGUUACUCUAAUUAUAGAGAGCGAACCUAGUGAAGUGAAACAUCUCAGUAACUAGAGGAAAAGAAAUCAACGAGAUUCCCUAAGUAGUGGCGAGCGAACGGGGAAAAGGGCAAACCGAGUGCUUGCAUUCGGGGUUGAGGACUGCAACAUCCAAGAGAACGCUUUAGCAGAGUUACCUGGAAAGGUAAGCCAUAGAAAGUGAUAGCCUUGUAUGCGACAAGGCGUUUUUAGGUAGCAGUAUCCAGAGUAGGCCAGGACACGAGGAAUCCAGGUUGAAGCCGGGGAGACCACUCUCCAACCCUAAAUACUACUCUUUGAGCGAUAGCGAACAAGUACCGUGAGGGAAAGGUGAAAAGAACCGCAGUGAGCGGAGUGAAAUAGAACCUGAAACCAUCUGCUUACAAUCAUUCAGAGCCCUAUGAUUUAUCAGGGUGAUGGACUGCCUUUUGCAUAAUGAUCCUGCGAGUUGUGGUAUCUGGCAAGGUUAAGCGAAUGCGAAGCCGUAGCGAAAGCGAGUCUUAAUAGGGCGAACAAGUCAGAUGCUGCAGACCCGAAGCUAAGUGAUCUAUCCAUGGCCAAGUUGAAACGCGUGUAAUAGCGCGUGGAGGACUGAACUCGUACCCAUUGAAACGGGUUGGGAUGAGCUGUGGAUAGGGGUGAAAGGCCAAACAAACUUAGUGAUAGCUGGUUCUCUUCGAAAUAUAUUUAGGUAUAGCCUCAAGUGAUAAUAAAAGGGGGUAGAGCCCUGAUUGGGCUAGGGCUGCUCGCCGCGGUACCAAACCCUAUCAAACUUCGAAUACCUUUUAUCGUAUCUUGGGAGUCAGGCGGUGGGUGAUAAAAUCAAUCGUCAAAAGGGGAACAACCCAGACUACCAAAUAAGGUCCCUAAGUUCUAUUCUGAGUGGAAAAAGAUGUGUGGCUACUCAAACAACCAGGAGGUUGGCUUAGAAGCAGCCAUCCUUUAAAGAAAGCGUAACAGCUCACUGGUCUAGUGGUCAUGCGCUGAAAAUAUAACGGGGCUAAGAUAGACACCGAAUUUGUAGAUUGUGUUAAACACAGUGGUAGAAGAGCGUUCAUACCAGCGUUGAAGGUAUACCGGUAAGGAGUGCUGGAGCGGUAUGAAGUGAGCAUGCAGGAAUGAGUAACGAUAAGAUAUAUGAGAAUUGUAUCCGCCGUAAAUCUAAGGUUUCCUACGCGAUGGUCGUCAUCGUAGGGUUAGUCGGGUCCUAAGCCGAGUCCGAAAGGGGUAGGUGAUGGCAAAUUGGUUAAUAUUCCAAUACCGACUAUGGAGCGUGAUGGGGGGACGCAUAGGGUUAAGCGAGCUAGCUGAUGGAAGCGCUAGUCUAAGGGCGUAGAUUGGAGGGAAGGCAAAUCCACCUCUGUAUUUGAAACCCAAACAGGCUCUUUGAGUCCUUUUAGGACAAAGGGAGAAUCGCUGAUACCGUCGUGCCAAGAAAAGCCUCUAAGCAUAUCCAUAGUCGUCCGUACCGCAAACCGACACAGGUAGAUGAGAUGAGUAUUCUAAGGCGCGUGAAAGAACUCUGGUUAAGGAACUCUGCAAACUAGCACCGUAAGUUCGCGAUAAGGUGUGCCACAGCGAUGUGGUCUCAGCAAAGAGUCCCUCCCGACUGUUUACCAAAAACACAGCACUUUGCCAACUCGUAAGAGGAAGUAUAAGGUGUGACGCCUGCCCGGUGCUCGAAGGUUAAGAGGAUGCGUCAGUCGCAAGAUGAAGCGUUGAAUUGAAGCCCGAGUAAACGGCGGCCGUAACUAUAACGGUCCUAAGGUAGCGAAAUUCCUUGUCGGUUAAAUACCGACCUGCAUGAAUGGCGUAACGAGAUGGGAGCUGUCUCAACCAGAGAUUCAGUGAAAUUGUAGUGGAGGUGAAAAUUCCUCCUACCCGCGGCAAGACGGAAAGACCCCGUGGACCUUUACUACAACUUAGCACUGCUAAUGGGAAUAUCAUGCGCAGGAUAGGUGGGAGGCUUUGAAGUAAGGGCUUUGGCUCUUAUGGAGCCAUCCUUGAGAUACCACCCUUGAUGUUUCUGUUAGCUAACUGGCCUGUGUUAUCCACAGGCAGGACAAUGCUUGGUGGGUAGUUUGACUGGGGCGGUCGCCUCCUAAAAAGUAACGGAGGCUUGCAAAGGUUGGCUCAUUGCGGUUGGAAAUCGCAAGUUGAGUGUAAUGGCAUAAGCCAGCCUGACUGUAAGACAUACAAGUCAAGCAGAGACGAAAGUCGGUCAUAGUGAUCCGGUGGUUCUGUGUGGAAGGGCCAUCGCUCAAAGGAUAAAAGGUACCCCGGGGAUAACAGGCUGAUCUCCCCCAAGAGCUCACAUCGACGGGGAGGUUUGGCACCUCGAUGUCGGCUCAUCGCAUCCUGGGGCUGGAGCAGGUCCCAAGGGUAUGGCUGUUCGCCAUUUAAAGCGGUACGCGAGCUGGGUUCAGAACGUCGUGAGACAGUUCGGUCCCUAUCUGCCGUGGGCGUAGGAAAGUUGAGGAGAGCUGUCCCUAGUACGAGAGGACCGGGAUGGACGUGUCACUGGUGCACCAGUUGUUCUGCCAAGAGCAUCGCUGGGUAGCUACACACGGAUGUGAUAACUGCUGAAAGCAUCUAAGCAGGAAGCCAACUCCAAGAUAAACUUUCCCUGAAGCUCGCACAAAGACUAUGUGCUUGAUAGGGUAGAUGUGUAAGCGCAGUAAUGCGUUUAGCUGACUACUACUAAUAGAGCGUUUGGCUUGUUUUU
rnacentral:rRNA from 1 species